rnacentral:lncRNA from 1 species
UUUUUUUUUUUUUACUUUUGUCUUUUUAGAGCCACACCUGUGGCAUAUGGAAGUUCUCAGACUAGGGGUUGAAGCGCAGCUGUAGCCCCUGGCCUACACUACAGCCACAGCAAUGCGGGAUCCAAGCCACUUCUGCGACCUACACCACAGCUUAUGGCAAUGCCGGAUCCUUAACCCACGGAGAAAGGCCAGGAAUUGAGCCCUUGUGCUCAUGAAUACUAUUCAGGUUCCUUAACUGCUGAGCCAUGACAAGAACUCCCCAGUUUUCUUUACCAUGCUUGAAUGAGAGAAAAAGAGAAAAGAUCUCUUCAGUGGAUUUUAGUGUCAAAUUUAUGAUAGAUUUCUCUUCUCUCUCUGGUCACUGCUGCUUUUUAUCAGACUGACACCGGCCAGUCUGAUGGAGGUGAGUCAGCGCAUUUAGUCUGGAUAGAUAGAUAGAUAAUAGUAAAUGAAUGGAUACAUAGAUAGAUGAUGGAUGGAUGGAUAGAUACACACAUACAUACACACAUGGAUAAAUAGAUACAUAGAUGAUAGGUAGAUAGAUAGAUAAGAAAGACAGAGAGGUGGAUGGAUGAUGGAUGAGAGAGAGGGAGAGAGAGAGAGAUGUUCUCAUCCAAAGGGUCAUCUAUUCACUAGCCUUCUCCUCCUCCCUCUGACUUGCUGGGCAAUACCAGAUGGUUCCCUCCCAGUCUCUUCGCAGCUGCCCAUGGCCUUGUUACUCAAUACCGUCCAGGGGAAUGAAGGACAUUCCCACAGGACUUCUGGGUAAUAUUUCUUUACUCACGUAAAGAGGAAUUUGAAGAGAAAUUACCCCAUACCCUGAUGCAUGAUAUGGUUAGUCAAGUUUGGCAGUUUUUUGGAUCUAGAUAAGAGCCAAUAUCCUAAGGAAAGGAUAGAAGCAAUACGGAAUGUGCUGGAGUCCUGACGGCAUUUUUGAUUCAAUGAACUAAUCCUCCAUGUGCCUGCCUUACCUCAGGAUUCCUUCAUAUAUGAGAUAAUAAGUGCCCAUGUUAUUUCAUCUGUUUUUACUGAAGUCUGUUUUUAUUUGUGGCCAAAAUUACCUUCACAUACUCAGUAACUGCCUGCUACAUUUAUUCUCUUCCAUUCCCAGUUAUCUGGGUUUCAAUCACAAGUGGAAGGGGCAAGAGAGACCACCAAGUAAUUUCACUCUUAGAGGAAAACACACACUAAAUAAAACCCUCUUUCCCAAACACAGAAAACUAAAAUUAUGCAAAGAGUUGAUGUGCUUGACUACAGAGAGGGAAUUGGUUUUUCUGAAUUUCCAGUCACUUGGUGGUUCCAAACACGUGAGAACUUGUGCGCAUCUUAUUUUAUAGGAAUAGUCACUGAUGACAAUGGCAUUAAAUCGCCCUUUGUUUGGGUACAUUACACAAUGGGUCUCAUAUUUUCAAGCAAUGUGAUCCAUGAUUUUUAUUGGGAUCAUCUAAUUGAAUUUCAUAGCACCCCACAUAGCUGGAAAUAUCCCCAUUUCAAUAAUGAGAAACUGGAGUUGAAAGUACUUAACUGGGAGAAUCUGACAAGGCAUUAUACAAGAAUUUGCAAAAAUAGUCGUAACGACAAUGGCAGCAGCAGAAAUAACUUGACGGAUAAAUGUCUUCAGCCCUCACUGCUUGGUGUCUGCAAAAGGAAACCAAGACACCCUCAUCUCCAUCAAUCUUCAGAAUAAAAGAGGCAGCAAACAAGGGUCUAGUUGUACUUUGAAAUGAAGAUAAAUCCGUUCAAACAUUGUAUUGUGAUCUAACAUUUAAAAUGAUUGAAAAAUGGUUUCCUCUGACAAUCAUAUACCCAGGAUCGGAUCAUGAAAGUCAUCUUAUUUCACCUGCUUUUGUGUUGCUGUUGUUGAUUUUACUUGUAUUUGGCUUUCUUCCUUAAAAUCGAUCAAAGAAUCACAGAUGUCUUUUCUCAAAAAGUGAUGUAUUGGAUACAUAAAUCUGGGCAGUACAGGGGCUCUCUUUUCUAAAGAGAAAUGAUUCUGACUUCUACAUGGAUGGCAAGAGAAUGGUAGGUCAAUCCUAGAGUCAUUUCCUUAAAAACCAACGUGAGGUGCCCAGAGCAGACUGGCAAUCCAAGACAGGACCUCUGUGGAAGAGAAGCCUAGCAUCCCGCAGAGGGCAUCUAUGGGCUCCCCUGAUUACUACCUACUCAGGAUGAUUUCACAUUCUCCCACCUGCACUUGACAAAACUGGUUUUGGGAAACAUCUUUCCAUUGUAGCAGUGCUUAACCUUUUUCUUCAAGAAAUGCUGAUUUUGUUUGUUUUAUUUUUAUUUUUAUUUUUUAGGGCCACACCUGCGGCAUAGAGACGUUCCCAGGCUAGGGGUCCCAUCGGAGCUACAGCUCCUGGCUUACACGAUAGCCAUGGCAAUGUGGGAUCUAGGUCGUGUCUGUGACCAACACCAUAGCUCAUGGCAACGCUGGAUCCCUAACUCACUGAGCGAGGCCAGGGAUUGAGCCUGCAUCCUCAUGGAUCCUAAUCAGGUUUGUUAACUGUGGAGCCAUGAAGGGAACUCCAAGAAAUGCUGAUGUCAAUGAGUUGAAUUCUGUCCCUGUGAAGUCACUGAGUUCCUGCUCUUUCUGAUUCAUAAUUGUCUUCAAUAACCUUGCAACCUCCCUUAAUAUCACAAACUGUGCUUUUCCUAAUUUCCUUUAUUUUAUUUUAUCCUUAGUCCUUUGGUGUGCUUCUAGUUCAAGGUAUAGGAACCAGUCCUGCGAGAAAAAUUGAUUAUCACUGUGCUUUGCAGAGCUCUGCAAAGGUGGGGAUUACUUGCACUAUGAAGAGCUUGCAUUUAAACUGAGCUAAAACUUGAGCUGGUUUAUAAAUAGCCCUUGACUCUGUCUCAAGUGGAAACAAUUGGAUGAUUUUGAGGUCAGCCCACCUCUCUGCCCAAGUUCAAGCUUUCACCUAUCAAUGAUAACAUGGAUAAAUCACAGCUUCUCAGUUUCUCCUGACUGAGGAUGAUUGUGCCAUAAAGCCAGCACUUGCAGCAAUAUGUAUGACAGUCUAGGUUGCCAUCAUUUGUUGACAGGCUAAUCUGCUUGGGAAAAUGGUUCUUUUCCAGAAAUGGGAUGGAAAAAGAGCAGCACAAAGCAUAAUAUUUAUGUACUGUGCUUUGGGGUUGGGAGGGUGGUUUAGAAUCUCAUAGUAGAGAUGCAUCUAUCAUGAAAAAUUUAAAUUCACUCCAGUCCUUAUGGUUUUGUUUGAUUUUUGUAAAUUAUAAGGACUGCAAAGAACUCACUAUGGGCGACUCACCAGGGCUCAGCAAUUCACAUGUGGGAUAUUUGAAAAUACACUUUUCUAUCCAGUCAAUUAAAUUUAAAGAAAACAUGUUUAGCUAAGAAAGAAUAAUGAAACCCAGACUCAUCUGAUUGCUGUAGCAAAUCUGGCAACCAUGAUGAAAAUUUUGCAAAGUGGAAGCUAUGAAGGAGAAUGAUCCUGUCAUAGACAAAGAGUGAGCAUGGGAAAGUUCGCUGGUGCCAUCAAAUUGGAGUAGAAACAAAGAGGACGUGACUCAGUGAUUACAUGCCUGAGAUGCCGGACCAGAGAAGGUAGAGCAAGAUGAGACAGAGUUCAGGAGAGGGUCCCUGGCCCCGUAAAAGAAAGAGGCAGACAUUGGCAUUGGGCAUAUCUUGGACAGCCCAUCAUAGAAAAGUGGCUCAGCCUGGACACCUUCCUAAAUACAUCUGGUAUCAACAGCCCUUUUAUUCACCUUGCACCUCAGAAAUCUACAUGGCUCCUGAUUGAUACAAAACUUCAAGACUUGUCUGAUUCUCAAGGAUCUAUCAUUAGAAAGGAGAAGACUCAGGAAAAACAGAAAGACUGCUUCUGGAAAAGAUGGAUCCAUCCUUACCAUCGUAUGCCUCCAGGAGAAGAAAAGCAGACCAGUUCUGAUGCGGCAAGAUUCAUAAUUUUAAAAGCCUUUAUAUUUCUCAGGCAAUAAAGAGAUGCACUUGUAUGUAUUAGGAUGUUGAACCUUCAUCGUGAUACUAAGAGGUAAACGGGCGGGGACAGAAACGAUCUAGGAAAUAUCAACCAUGUUUAAAAAAAAUAGCACACACAACUAGUAAAAUCCUCCUGAACUCACACUCAGAUGGUCACCAGGACCCUGAGCUGAUCAAGGUCUCACCUUGAUCAGUAACCUAGGAAACCCUCUGGGUGGCCUUCCAGGGCACCUGCCCUCCUCCUGAAGUUACCUGCAGAUUCUUCAGCUACCCCUGAGCUUUCUGCUCUUCUCAUACAUAGAUGUGAUUUUUUUUUUCCUUUCUUCCUGGGGAUAACCCUAUCCUGAGGCAAAGAAGCUACACCCAUAGCCAGGUGCCUCUAGCCAGGACAGAGGAUGCUCAGAGAUUUUGAGUUUUCAAAGGGAUAUCCUCUUCUGUUUCAUACUCCAUUGUCACACCAUGCCACAAACAGAGUUGUCCUGCUCACUUUGCUGUAAGAUUGUGAGAUCCUAUGACCCGAAUUGAUGUGCUCAAAGGCGCACACUUACUAGUAACGGGUAUGAGACUUAUAUCCAAGAUCUGCAUCAAGGAAGACCUGUGUGGAAUAUUUGUAAUCCACCGGUCUUGUUAGUGUUUUACGUCCUUGUAUUAAAUAACUGGCCUUUGGAGUUCCUGUUGUGGCUCAGUGGUAAUGAACCCAACUAGUAUCCAUAGGGAGGCAGGUUCAAUCCCUGGCCUCACUCAGUGGGUAAAGAAUCUGGUGUUGCCUCGAGCUAUGGUGUAGCACAGAUGCAGCUCAGAUCCUGCAUUGCUAUGGCUGUGGUGUAGCCCUCAGCUACAGCUCUGAUUCAACCCCUAGCCUGGGAACCUGUGGCCCUAAAGAGACAAAAAAACAAAACAAAACAAAAUAAGCAACAAAAAAACUGAUCUUAAAUGUGUAUAAAAUAGUCUAACAAUAACCACUACCUCAGGCUGUGUAGACAAUACUUUUUUGUACCGAAAAGCAGUAAAUACACAUGCACAAUCAUGCUGAAACUUUUACAUACACCCCUGUUAAACAAAUUUAAACUAAGAAUUGAUUCUUGUAUCACCUGAGAACAUUCAUUUUGGAGGGAAGGAGGAAGUUGGCAAGAGAAAAAAUAAGCCUGCAGUUUAAAAAUAGAGCUGGAAGCUCUUGAAGUCUUGACUUUCUCAUCCCACUUGGUUUCUGUUGGACAGCGUUGCGGAAACCCACAGAAGAGCGAGCUGAGCUGACCCUGAGAUGGCAGAACAGAGAGCAUGAUUACUUCAAGAAGGCCAUCCAAAGGUCCUACUGCAGAGCUUGUGGAAAAGUCAGGAUGCAUCUCUUCCUAUAAACAAUUCUUUGGGCUAUAUUUCUCAUUUCUACAAGGCCCGUUAAUCUAACAGUCGCACUUGUUUGAGGCUGUCAGAUACGCAACAGGAAUCUAAACAAAAAAAAUGAGAUUGGGGGAGGGAAAGAGUCAAUUUAUUCCAAUGACUCUUAAUAUGUCU